AUACUCUGUUCGUCUCUGAAGAAAUUUUGCGGAUCCACAGCAGUUUUCACUUUCACCAACCGAUCAAAAUUUUCACCGAAAUACAUCCUCCCGAAAACCUCUGCUACUCUGUAACUGUUUGGGCCAGGGGUAUUAACUCCAAUAUCCAGAUCCCUGUAAUUGAUAUAAGUGUGUCUAGGGUUCUUGGUCACAAAAGGAGCCAUGUAGCUAUAAAAGCUUUUCGCCUUCUGCAAGAAACUGGUUUCCGCUUCGGUUCCCGGAUCUUUCCAGUUCAUCGAAUGCUGGAUUUUGUAAAGCUUCUUCCUAUGUGGGAAUGGUGUCUUCGUUGUAGCCACCGUACUCAUUAUCCCUCCGUAAGGAUUAAACACUAACCCUAUCUUCCCAACUUCAAUCAUUUUCUUGAACAAGAAAUCUAAACCAUCUUUAGUGAUCUCUUUCUCAACGAAAUCAGAUUUCCUUUUCCCGAAAGUCGCCAUAUCAGGGUUUCGGUCCAGUAGAAUCUCCGGUUUAAUCUGCGUAGCGUUAUCGUUGUUUGCCCACCACAUCACCGACUGUAUCCAAGUCAUCUCCGUGCAGUUCUCCUUCUUCAAACCAAGCUCCGGGAAUUCUUUGGUUAGCAUAGACAUAACAGUGUUUUGGUCCCCCAAGAAGAGAGCCACAACCGAUGCUCGAACCGUUUGCAUUUUAUUCCUAGUCACCGGCUGCAACAAUAGCCUCAUGAAUAGACCUGGAUCGGUCUUGGGUGCAACAAAUUGCCAUUUAUGAACCAUUUCAGUAGCAUUUUCGACUAAGUUUUUCUCUACUCUGAAAACGGUUACGGUCGGUGGAACAGGGACGAGUUUGAUCUUGAAAGCUAGGAUAACACCGAAGCUAGCACCGCCUCCACCGUUAAUGGCCCAAAACAUGUCUUCUCCCAUUCCUUUCCGAUCAAGAACCUGUCCAUUAACAUCAACGAUUUUGGCGUCGGUGACGUAAUCAACGGAGAGUCCGUAUUUUCGGAUCAUGUUUCCGUAGCCACCACCGCUAAUGUGACCUCCGGCUCCAACCGUGGGACAAACUCCGGCGGGGAAUCCAUGACUUUUGGUUUUUUCCCAAAUCCUGUAGUAAACUUCACCGAGUGUUGCACCGGCACCGACCCAUGCAGACUCUGUGGCGGGGUCGACGGUGAUGUUACGGAGAUUUGACAUGUCGAGGACGAAGAAAGGAACGUGAGAGAUGUAGGAAACACCUUCGUAGUCAUGACCACCGCUUCGAGUUUUCAGUUGGAUGUUUAGCGAUUUCGUGCAGAUGACGGCAGCUUGGACGUGAC